GUAGUAGUAGUAGUAAUAGUAAUAAUAAUAGUAAUGACAUACAGACACACAGACACACACAAUUAUUAUUUAUUAUUAUUAUUAUUAUUAAUUUUUUGGGUAUAAAAAUUACAUAGGCCUAUAGAAUUACAUAGGCCUAUACAAAAUUUAAGAAAAAUAUAUAGGCCUAUACAAUAUUACAUAGGCCUAUACAGAAUUACAUAGGUCUAUACAAAAUUACAUAGGCCUAUACAAUAUUACAUAGGCCUAUAUAGAGUUACAUAGGCCUAUACAAUAUUACAUAGGUCUAUACAUAAUUAUAUAGGCCUAUACAGAAUUACAGGCCUAUACAAUAUUACAUAGGCCUAUACAGAAUUACAUAGGCCUAUAUAGUUACAUAGGCCUAUAUAAAAUUUAAGAAAAAAUAUAUAGGCCUUUAGAAACUUACAUAGGCCUAUACAAAAUUUUAUAAAAAAUAUAUAGGCCUUUAGAAACUUACAUAGGCCUAUAUAGAGUUACAUAGGCCUAUACAAAAUUACAGACCUAUACAAAAAAAUCACAAGAAUUACAUAGGCCUAUACAGAAUGACAUACCUAUAUAGAGCAAUAUUUCUAGGUUGUAUAGGCCUAUGGAGGGUUUAAAAAGGUUGCUUAGGCCUAUAUAGAAAUUUAUUAGGCCUAUGGAAAAUUAAGAAAAUAAUUUAUGUACAGGAGAAAUAAUAGGAAUUUUUGGCCUAUCUAAUAAUUUCCUAGGCCUAUACAAAUUACAUAGGCCUAUUAUAUGCUAUGAAAUUAAUAGAAAAUAUGAAUAGCCUUUUGGUGGAUAUAUAGGCCUAUCUAGGGAAAUUUUUAGGCCUAUACAAAUUGCAUAGGCCUUUUCAAUGCUAUAAAAUUACAAAAAAUAGGCCUAUAUAGAUCAUUUCUAGGGUCUAUAGGCCUAUAAAAUGAGAAAAAUGAAUAGGCCUACUUAGAUCAGCAUUCUAGGCCUCUUGGUGGUUAUAUAGGCCUAUGUAGGGAGAAUUUUUUGGCCUAUACAAAUUACAUAGGCCUAUUUUUUGUGUGUUCCCAGGAGGAGACAAGCCGGCUGUACGCAGGCUGUGUCCUCGCUUAGGCCUACCCCCUCCCUCCCCUUCACCCUGCAUCGCUUGGCAACUGGAAAAUCUCCUGAAAAAUGCAGCCUAAUGUGAGAGAGUGAGUGAAAGUGAGAGAGUGAGAGAGAGAUUAGAGCGAGAGGGGAGUGGGUAGGUGACGGAUUAGAGCGAG